GGCGGCACGCCUAACACAUGCAAGUCGAACGAAGUAGCAAUACUUAGUGGCAGACGGGUGAGUAACAUGUGGGUAUCUGCCCUUUGGCCUGGAAUAACACGAGGAAACUUGUGCUAAUACCGGAUAAGUCUUUACGGAGAAAGCUUUAUGCACCAUUGGAUGAGCCCGCACUUGAUUAGUUAGUUGGUAGGGUAAUGGCCUACCAAGGCAACGAUCAAUAGCUGAUUUGAGAGGAUGAUCAGCCACAUUGGGACUGAGAUACGGCCCAGACUCC
rnacentral:rRNA from 1 species